CCUACGGGAGGCAGCAGUGAGGAAUAUUGGGCAAUGGCCGUAAGGCUGAACCAGCCAAGUCGCGUGAAGGAAGAAGGAUCUAUGGUUUGUAAACUGCUGGUAUAGGGGAAUAAAGGGAGCCACGUGUGGAUAUUUGCAUGUACCCUAUGAAUAAGCAUCGGCUAACUCCGUGCCAGCAGCCGCGGUAAUACGGCGGAUGCGAGCGUUAUCCGGAUUUAUUUGGUUGACAGGGGGCGUAGGGUGUUUUUUAAGUCAGCGGUGAAAGUUUGUGGCUCAACCCUAAAAUUGCCGUUGAAACUGGCAGACUUGCGUGUGUUUGCGGUAGGCGGAUUGCGUGGUGUAGCGGU
rnacentral:rRNA from 1 species